rnacentral:sRNA from 1 species
GGAGUCAGUCAUGUUGUCACCACAAGUGUUGGGAUGUGUGAUAUUGAUAUCAGACCAGGCCUCUAUGGCAGUGUAAUAGUGGCAGGAGGAAACACACUAAUACAGAGUUUUACUGACAGGUUGAAUAGAGAGCUGUCUCAGAAAACUCCUCCGAGUAUGCGGUUGAAAUUGAUUGCAAAUAAUACAACAGUGGAACGGAGGUUUAGCUCAUGGAUUGGCGGCUCCAUUCUAGCCUCUUUGGUUAGUAGAUGAGCUACUUUGCAAAAAUGUUCUUACUGAAUUAUACUAAAUUUAGUAAAAAUACAAAAAAUUAUUC